CCUCAAAUCAGGUAGGACUACCCGCUGAACUUAAGCAUAUCAAUAAGCGGAGGAAAAGAAACUAACAAGGAUUCCCUUAGUAACGGCGAGUGAACCGGGAAGAGCUCAAAUUUGAAAUCUGGCUGUCUUCGAUAGUCCGAGUUGUAAUCUAUAGAAGCGUUUUCCGUGCUGAACUGUGUCUAAGUCCCUUGGAACAGGGUAUCAAAGAGGGUGACAAUCCCGUACUUGACACAAUCAUCAGUGCUCUGUGAUACGCUCUCUACGAGUCGAGUUGUUUGGGAAUGCAGCUCAAAAUGGGUGGUAAAUUCCAUCUAAAGCUAAAUAUUGGCGAGAGACCGAUAGCGAACAAGUACCGUGAGGGAAAGAUGAAAAGCACUUUGGAAAGAGAGUUAAACAGUACGUGAAAUUGUUGAAAGGGAAACGAUUGAAGUCAGUCGUGUUCAUUGGAUUCAGCCGGUCUUCGGUGUACUUCCUUUGAACGGGUCAACAUCAGUUUUGCCCGGUGGAUAAAGGCAGUAGGAAUGUGGCCUCUUCGGAGGUGUUAUAGCCUAUUGUCACAUACACUGGGGGAGACUGAGGACUGCAGCUCGCCUUUUGGCCGGGGUUCGCCCACGUUCGAGCUUAGGAUGUUGACAUAAUGGCUUUAA
rnacentral:rRNA from 1 species